CCAGACGGCCGGAUGGCCGCCAGCGCAACCGUUUGACGGCUGCGCUGGAGGAAAGUCCGGGCUCCACGGGAAUACGGGGCCGGGUAACGCCCGGCGGGGGCGACCCCAGGGAAAGUGCCACAGAAAGCAAACCGCCCGCCUUGCGAGGUAGGUAAGGGUGAAAGGGUGCGGUAAGAGCGCACCGCGCGGCUGGUAACAGCCGUGGCAGGGUAAACCCCACCGGGAGCAAAACCGAAUAGGGAUGGCGUGUCGGUGCCGGCUUUGGCUGGAGCCUGACAGGCGUGUUCGCGCCGCCGUCCGGGUAGGUUGCACGAGGCGUCCGGUAACGGACGUCCUAGAUGAAUGAUCGUCCAGCGCCGCCAAAUAUGGGCCGUGGCGUGGACAGAACCCGGCUUACAGGCCGUCUGGCGCC
rnacentral:RNase_P_RNA from 1 species